AGGGGCAGCGGGGANAAGCUUGCUUAUCCGCCGGCGACCGGCGCACGGGUGCGCAACGCGUAUAGAAUCUGCCCUGUACUGGGGAAUAGCCCAGAGAAAUUUGGAUUAAUGCCCCAUGGUAUGUAUUAGCGGCAUCGCUUAUACAUUAAAGGNUANNGGUACNGGANGACUAUGCGUCCCAUUAGUUAGUUGGUAAGGUAACGGCUUACCAAGGCAGCGAUGGGUAGGGGCCCUGAGAGGGGGAUCCCCCACACUGGUACUGAGACACGGACCAGACUCCUACGGGAGGCAGCAGUGAGGAAUAUUGGACAAUGGGCGGGAGCCUGAUCCAGCCAUGCCGCGUGCAGGAAGACGGUCCUAUGGAUUGUAAACUGCUUUUGUACGGGAAGAACAAGGGGCACGUGUGCCCCUCUGACGGUACCGUAAGAAUAAGGAUCGGCUAACUCCGUGCCAGCAGCCGCGGUAAUACGGAGGAUCCGAGCGUUAUCCGGAAUCAUUGGGUUUAAAGGGUCCGUAGGCGGGCCAUUAAGUCAGGGGGUGAAAGUCUGCGGCUCAACCGUAGAAUUGCCCUUGAUACUGGUGGUCUUGAGUUAUGGUGAAGUAACUAGAAUAUGUAGUGUAGCGGUGAAAUGCAUAGAUAUUACAUAGAAUACCGAUUGCGAAAGGCAGGUUACUAACCAUAUACUGACGCUNAUGGACGAAAGCGUGGGGAGCGAACAGGAUUAGAUACCCUGGUAGUCCACGCCNUANACNAUNGANAC
rnacentral:rRNA from 1 species